rnacentral:lncRNA from 1 species
UCAGGUGAAGAGGGAAGAUUAAAUCAAAUAGUAGAUAAAGAUCUAAUGGGAGAGUGACUUAUUUAAAUGGGAAGAAAUUGUCCAUGUUGCACUCAUGUUGCACUCAUGUGUAGACAUAUUUCAGGUGACUUUGUUUAUUAUGUGGAAUUGCAUAUGCCUCUAAGUACUAAGGCACCACAUGUAGAGUUAUGAAUUUUGUGACAAUCUGAGCUGGUAAUUAAGGCUUUUUUCAUGUAUCAAAGAUCAACUAUUUUGAAAUCAGUGGUGUCAUUUAUAAGCAAAGGAUUGAUUAAGUUUGCCAUUUUGAUACCUCUAGAUAUAUUUGAGUUGUAUUUUGAAGUUGGAUUAUUUUAUAACCAAUACUUGGUUAAUAUUGUAGUGCAUGUCACUUAUUUUAUUUCUUAUGAGCAGUUUGAUUUUAGGAUUAAUGAAAUUUGUUUGGUUUUUAUUAUCCAGAUUCAGAAAAACUAGCACUCAUUAUCAAGUGACUCUUACCUUUUAUUCUUAUUUUCUUUUUGUAGAGGAUGAAAUAUUUUCCACCUUAGUUAUUUUCCUUUUGGAUAAAAGAAUUGAUAUAUCUAGUCUAAGUACUUUUGAUUAUAACUAUAUGCAGACAUGAAAACAAAUGAGUAUAUGCCAACAAUGGUGGUGUUGACAAGACAAAAGUUGCCAACAUUAUUGUACGCAGAGAGGGAUCAAUGGUGCUUUUACUUCUACUUCAUUUGAAAGAUCAAGGAUGUGAAUUUUGACGUAUCAAUUUAUAUUUAGCUAGUUUUGUGAUUUUUCCAUCUCGUUGCUUAUCAAUGCUUAGCAAUGUAUUUAAUGCUCUGUAAUUCAUAUAUUGAUUAGUUUAAAUGCAAAUUGUAAUUGGAUUUGAAGAUAUCCAUUGUAUUAUACAGUAGUAACUUGUAAAGAUUUGAGUAGCAUAUUUUGUAACCAAUAUUUUUGUAUGGUACACAAUUUGAAUGUCUUAUGUGGUGUUUGAUUCUAAUCAAUGAAAAUUGUUGGCUCUUUUUUUUUGUAUUCAAGUAUAG